rnacentral:rRNA from 1 species
CAGCAGCCGCGGUAAUACGUAGGUCCCGAGCGUUGUCCGGAUUUAUUGGGCGUAAAGCGAGCGCAGGCGGUUAGAUGAGUCUGAAGUUAAAGGCUGUGGCUUAACCAUAGUACGCUUUGGAAACUGUUUAACUUGAGUGCAAGAGGGGAGAGUGGAAUUCCAUGUGUAGCGGUGAAAUGCGUAGAUAUAUGGAGGAACACCGGUGGCGAAAGCGGCUCUCUGGCUUGUAACUGACGCUGAGGAGCGAAAGCGUGGGGAGCGAACAGGAUUAGAUACCCCAGUAGUCCCUGUCUCUUAUACA